rnacentral:lncRNA from 1 species
AUUGUUUUCUAAGACUGCAUUUGGUUUGGCUAUAAAUAAGAACUGCUUAGUUUAGAGACACAUAUAAAUUCGGGUAUAAACAGAAACUAGAACAAUUUUACGUUUGGAUGAAAAUUGAAUUAUUCCUAGAAAUAAGGUAAAUAGUGUUUGAAUAGUCAAAUUGGAACAAAUUGACAUCAAAAUAUUACUUAAAAUUAAUUUAAUAAAUUAAUAAACUUAUUAGCUAUAAAUAUUGUAUAAGAUAAUAAAAAUAUAUUAAUUAAUUAAUUAAUUAUAAAAAAUUUAACAUUUUAACUAGUUAGUAAAUUAUUUUAGCUAGAUAACUAGUAAAAAAAUUAAUUAGAUUAAUAGAAAUAUUAAUAGUUGAUUAAUAUAAAUAUUAGUUAUGGAUAAAUAUAUUAAAUUAUUAAUAAUUAAUUAUAAAUAAUAAAUUAAUUAAUUAUUUUAUUAUUUAAGCAAUAAAUAAUAAUUUAAAUAUAUUAAUUAGAUUAAUUAAUAAUUUAAUAUCAUAAUUAAAAUUUGAUUUAAACUUUAAUUAACCUUGUGCUCCUGAGAACAAGCUUGUUUCAGGAAAAAGGAUGGAACAGCAGCUCUAGUCUUAUAUCAGCUUAUUUCAAGAACCUGAGAACUACUGUUCUCGGAUACAAAACACAGCAUUUGGGAACAAAAGGGGGAACCAGGAUUUAUUCCCCCUUGUUCCCAAACCCAACACUGCCUAAAUGUAUACCUGUGGAACAGGUGUAUAUAUAGAUAAUAUAAUUUCCAAAAGUACCUC